GCCCCCGCGCCGCGCGCGCCCUCGAGGUGGGCCCGCAGGCCGCGCGAGCCCGAACGACCCGCCGCAGCGCCCGAACAGAGUAGUGUCCGCCGUCCUGAAGAGGGAAGGGGAGCUCCCGGGAAGACCCGAGUGUGGUAGGCGUCUCCCCUAUUCUAAGCUAAUUUAUCCGCACCACAGCGCUGUGAGGUGGGCACCGUCGUCCCCCUCAGAAGGGGCCCCGCAGCUGAGAGACGCUGUUACUUGUGCAGGGACACCCCGCUAGGAAGUAUCGAGAACUGUGAAGAAUCUCCCCUUGCAGGCCAACAGGGGAAGGCAGUCCUGAAAAGUUGGCUUUCGGGAAGGAAGCAGUUCGACCAGACCUCUAUGUGCUAUUCCAACAAUUUCUGUGACUUCCUGGGGUGAACUGAAUUGCUUCCACUUAGAAGCACACCUGGAUUCUGAAAGCAGCUAAUUUUAGAUUCCUUGUUUCAGUGCCAAGCAUCAAAGGAGAGUUGAAAGAACAAUCUUUGUUCAAUUGGAGUACAGAUUCUUUCAGUUGAGACCAAUUCUGCUGCCUCAUCUUAAGAUAAGCAAACUCCCAUUUAUUACAUAUCUUUAAGCUGAAACAUUUUGACCAAAGCAGGAGAAGCAAAAACCAAGAUCACCUUUAAGCAAAUGACUCACUGAGCAAGUAAAUACCAAGAAUGAAGAUUUUUAUGAGUGUAAAAUUAUUCCACAUGUGCAGGUGCAAUUUACUCAAUAGUUAUGGUUCUGACUUGGGUGAAAUAAUCUGUCAUCAAAGUGCCUAAAUCCCCUUGGAGGCAGGCAGAGGCUGAAUCCAGCUGCUAACCCCAGGUGGCAUGGCCAGGCCAGCAGCAUCCGUCCUCCGCCCCACGUCCAGUCUCCUGAUUGAACCAGCAGACACAGAUGCCCAAGCCAAUUAGAGAAAAUGGAACCUGGCAGAUGGAGAGACACACCACGGUCGGUCCCCCAGGAGCAGGAGUUUUAAUCACAGCCCAGUGUGAAGAACACUUAACGGAGAUUUGGAGAUUAUGAGAAACCAUUAGCACCUUGUCAACCACAGCAAUCAAGAGUGCCUUUUGCUUUAAACCAUAGCCUUCUACGUUCUCCCUAAAACUACAAAAGACCAGUUACUUGGAGCAACUCUGCUUGCUAGGAUUUCACUAGCUAGGAGCUCCUUGGAUUAUAGCAGGAAGAGCAAAUGGGACAGUCUAGGGUCCUCACCUUAACUCCUCCACUCCUAUAAUCUUCUGGUUGGCAGAUUGUUUUAAAGAGAGAUCUUCAGGGAUCCCUGGGUGGCGCAGCAGUUUGGCGCCUGCCUUUGGCCCAGGGCGCGAUCCUGGAGAUCCGGGAUCGAAUCCCACGUCGGGCUCCCGGUGCAUGGAGCCUGCUUCUCCCUCUACCUGUGUCUCUGCCUCUCUCUCUCA